rnacentral:ncRNA from 1 species
AACAACGUGAUGACAGGGACAAGUAAGCAAUGGACUGCACCUUCAGAAAGCCGGUGGCUGAUGUGAACCGGUGGUGCACCUCUGACCGAAUGGACCCUUGAGCGCCGCGAUCGAACGGGCUGAAUAAGCCUUCAGUAGACCGGCCGGCUCUUCCCCGUUAACGGAAGCUAAGGCUGCUUGCCUGUCCCCCAGGGAUGACUUAGGAGCAGCGAAUAAGGGUGGUACCACGGUCUCACGUCCCUUGC